UACGUAGGGGGCAAGCGUUGUCCGGAUUUAUUGGGCGUAAAGCGCGCGUAGGCGGCAAGGUGUGUCGUGCGUGAAAUCUCCCGGCUUAACUGGGAGGGGCCGUGCGAAACUGCCUGGCUUGAGGUCGGAAGGGGAAAGUGGAAUUCCGGGUGUAGUGGUGGAAUACGUAGAUAUCCGGAGGAACACCAGCGGCGAAGGCGGCUUUCUGGGCCGAUUCUGACGCUGAGGAGCGAAAGCCAGGGGAGCAAACGGG
rnacentral:rRNA from 1 species